CAAUCAGGAGCUGUACUCUCCAGUCACGAAGAGUCCAAUACAACAUGUCUUCAGUUGUGUCUCGAGUGUCCUUCUCGGCCCUACAAUGUACAUACGCCGAUUGUUUUAGUGUAUGUAGUUAAGGUUUUAGAUGGCAUACCCUCAACUGCUUGGCCAUGUCCUACAAGGACCGUUAACUAAAAAGAUUCAAAACAGAUUGUUGCUAGGUAACCACAAACUACUCAAGAGAUUGUUGCCGGGUAACCAAAGAGUGAGUGAGUGAGUUGAAGCCACUAAACUUGCUGUGAAAGGUUGAGCAGCUAAAGUGUUUCUUCUGUCCACAUUUCCCAGAAUGCUGGUUUCAAAUGAUCAAACAAAUCUUCAAUAUCAAACAAAACUAACCAGAUUGGAUGAAAAAAAAUUGUUUUCAGCUGAUUAUUUCAUUUAAUGAGAGGCAAAAAAUCAGUUUAAACCAACCUGACCCACCUGGUAAAAGAAACUACCCUCUAGCACUUAAAAAGGUAAAGGUAAUGGUAAUUUUAUUUAUAUAGCACAUUUUCAGCAACAAUGCAAUACAAAGUGCUUUAAAUAGAACCUGUUUGACAACACAAAGAGGCUAAAAGUUUUCAAAAAGCAACACAUCAUGACCUCAUCUAAAGAAAUUCAAGGAUAAAAGACAAAAUCGUUGACAUAUAUCAGCAUGGAAAGGGUUAAAGGACCCAAAUACAAACUUUAAGGGAAUAACAAACAAACAUGGCGGUUGUGUGAUUACCUAUGAUUUGCAGAAGUAGGAAGUUUUCUCUUCAUAUGGAGUUUUAUCAAGAUAUUUUGUGGUUCUAUUCUAUUACAAUAGCAAUAAAAGUUAUGAUUAAAAACUAUUUACUGCUUCUAUUUUUAGGUAAUUAUAUGCUCUGACUUCAUGGUGCCACAAACAUAAAUACUGUUCUUGAAUUCAUUUGCAAUAAGCUUCUUCAGAAUGAUAUUUGUCUUGUUCAGACAGUUACUGUAGUAAAUGUUCUUGUUCUCUCUAUAAACAUAUAUAUGAAAUAUAUAUAUGUAAAAAACAGAAAGCAAAACUGCAAAUGUGUUGCUUCUGCUUGCAAAACAAAGUGUCCGCCUUGUCCUCAUUUUGUAAUAAUUCAGCCUAAUAAAGCUGGAGGCUGGGAACAAGGGAGUCUGAUCUUCCAGCCGUUUAAUCCUCGAGGGACACAGGAGGUAAAAAUCACCAUCAGUAACAUGAGUUUGCAGCAGUGGUGGAUAUCAGAUUAGAAGACAUGGUACGUGGCAUUCCCAUCCUAAUCAAGGUCACCUCUCGCCCUCUGAGGUUCAAUCAGUCACUUGAAUUUAUUAUAAAUCCUAAACUGCUGCAGAAAUAGACAAUAAUCUGGAUCAAGUAAUGAGUAAAAUGUGUUUUUAAAUAAUAUGAUUUGACUGCUGUUGUGAUUUAAAACUCCCGUUACCGUGACCUUGAUGUUCGUCUUUGGUUAGUAGUCCGACAGCACCACCUGCUGGUCACGAACCAACCAGCAAGCCAGUAACUUCAAUAGAUGGCAACUUUAAUUUAAAAACCAGUAUAAAAGAGUAACUAAUUGUUAUUUCCAUGCAUAUCUUUAACUAACGCUGUCCAAACUCUUUGAGCGUUCUGGUCUUCAUUAACUUAAAGCAACAAUAAAACACUAAUUUAAUUAAUUCAUGUAAUUUCUCAAUACAAAACAUUUUUAGUAAAAUUUUAAAAAAGGCCCAAAAGGAGUUAACAUUUUGUUGCACCCUGCAAAAUUAAGGAGAAUCCAACAUUAAUUUCUACUUUGAUAAAUAAUAAUACUUUUUAAAAUCAAUUAGUGGUUCUUUUAACAUGUUUAAAGUUACACUUUACGUUUUAAAGUAAGCAUAUUGAUCAGUUCUUAAUAAGUGAUCAGAGGUUUCUGUUUCCCAUAGGGGCAAAAAAUCUGACGCCACUAAACAACAUUUUCUGAUAAUUACUCUUCAAAAUGGGAAAAACAAUAAAAUAUCCUCUUUAAUAAAGGCAGAUGUAUGUAAUAUCCUCACAAGUCAGGUAAUAAUUACAAGAAAAUUGCUACUUGCUGAAACUUACAUAAGUUUAGAGUUAGAAUAAUAUUUAAAAAGUUGUAAAAAAAAAAAAAUCUUUACCAGGGUUCCAGUAGUUAUGGAGGGAGCUGAACAUAUUGAACAAUUCACAACAUAUCUCAAACUUUGGUAUAAAAUUAUCAGAAAGACUUUCUUCAAUCUGAUGUAUGUGAAGAUUUGAAACCACCUUUACAAAAACAUUAAAUCAAAACAACAAAUUUUCCACUUGGGAGUUCAUUUUACAACUCGUGCCAUUGUGUUCUAAAUACUGUCUGCCUGGAAAACUAAUAGGAUCUGUGCAGUUUGCAGAAGGAUUUGAUUAAGUAGGCAGACACCAAAACAAAUUAGUGGUUUAUGUAAAAAAAAAACACACAGAGACACAUCCAUAUCAGUGCAUACUGACAAUACUGUAAAACAAAACACAGAUACAAACAAUGAGUCAUGAUUUC